CAAAGGCUAGCAGACUUUACAAACAUAUAGCAAGAAACUAUUAUUCUGAAGUCGCCAACAUGGUGUUAGAAGAAUUUAAGUCAUUGUAUGCAUGUGGUUGGCAAGGAUUAACCUGUAAUUUUCCACUUUGACUAAUUUCUUUUUGAGUCUCAAGUUUGGUUUAUCACAGCCAUGAUCUUGCUCUAAGAUAGCACAUAUGUAAAGUGUUAAACUGGAGCAUAGGAGUUCAGGAUGGAAGAGUCUAUUGUGUUAUUACACUUGGUGGAUUAUCUUUGGACAGUUAAUUUCUCUCAUCUUGAGAGAGAGUCAAAGAGGAGGUUAACCAUAUACCAUGUUGCACCAAAAGCCCAUUAAAAGGAAGGUAGUAAAUAAAUGGCAUUAAAAAAAAUCAAACAAUCAAUAUUACUACCCUUUGACAUUUAAUCAUGGGUCUCUGCAUAAUCUUCUUUUAAUUUAUAUAGAAGGUUGCCUUCCUUUUAAAUAGAAAAGUAGUCCAUAUGAAUCAUAUGUGAAUCAUGAAUCAAUUAAUAUUUUUCUUGAGAAAAUUAUCAGUGGUUUCAUGUGAUAAAAUCCUAAAUUAAUCUUUUCUCCUUAACAGGAUAAAUAUGGGAAACCACUGAUUAUUUUCAUAGAAUCAUAGAAUCUAUCUAUUUAGGAUUUUAUCACAUGAAGUUUCUAUCCCAUGGUGCUCAGGUGAUCAUAAUGACAACAUACCAUCAGAGCACAUCUCUGUAUCCAUGCAACUUUGACAAUAUGCCUAUCCACAGUCCUACUUCUGCAUGACCUCAUAACUCCAUCCUCCCACACUUCUGAAAUCUCAAUAGUAUUUGCAAUUUUAAAUUUCCAACAUGUUUAAUAAACAGAUAAAAAAAUUGAUUUUAUCUGAUUUUCAAAAUUUCAGUCUCAAGAAGAGCAAGGAGGAGUGGUAGAGGAGGAGAAUCCCAUCCCCAGACAUCACUUCCAUGCUGGCCUACCAGCACAAAAGCUGAACAGACCUAUCACAUCAGGACAUGCAUUUCCUUCUCCAACUACAGAGCCAACUCCUUGAUUGUCUGACUCUUGACUUUCAUCACGUGAGGAGAAGACAUGUUAACUCAGCAAUGAAAGUGCAGCACAGAAAGAUGGAAGUGACAUACCUGUCAACCUUUAAGGACAGAUGCUAUAGCUCUGGGACAUGAAAGGAACCAUGGUUGCAAACAGAAGAAAAAUGGCUUCCAGUAGACCACCAAUGAGUGAAGCAAGCAAUGCCUGAAAGCAAUGGCUACAGAAAUAUGGACUUUGAGACUGGGGACAUCAAGGGAGGUUGAGGUUUUUCAUGUCUUGGGAUUUUGAACAUGUUUGGAACUGGGAAUAACUGUGAAGAUUUGGGGGGAUUAAGCUAAAAAAAAUCCACAUUCUGUUGAGUUGAUUCUGUCAGUUAACUUAGUGGCUCAAGGUGAAGGACAUUUUAAAAUACUUCAAUGUUCAGAAAAACAUCUUGAAAUGAAAGGUGUGUGGCUGAAUGAGACGGGCCCAAUCAUCACAAGACAGCCAUGAAUGAGUCCUACCCAUCUUCCCACAUUGACAUUCCUCUUUUGUGCCCUGCACUACCAAAGGAAGUGUAAACAAAUAUACCAUAGUAUGCAGUAUGCAUUUACUAGAUUAUUUUUGAUGUUCAAAUUGCUGUCACUUCAUGUCAAACAGGUUAGAUUGGAGAUGGUUUGGGGUUUUAUUUUCUUUGCUUCUUCCAAAACCACGUGGUUCUAUAGUAGGUGUGACUGUAUACAAAUGUUAGCUAGAUCUGGCUGGAUAUUGACUUCUAACCAACAGGAGCUUUCUCAGUAGCACUUUUGUUCAUAUAUCAUCAGAUUUCCCUGAGAGAUGUAGUAGUGCUAAGCUCCUGUGGGAGAACCACGUGGGAAAACGUGCAUGAUGCAUCAAUACAACCAAAAGAACAUUGCUUUUGAUUCUUUGUAUUGUAUUUCUCCAACUAGAUUCUAGUUUUACUACUGGGUCUUUACAGUUUAUUGUGUAUUAUACAGAGUCUAUGGUUACUAAUGCAUUAUGAAUUUCCUUGAUGACAAGACUUGGGGGGGGGGGGGCUCAAGGAUUCUUGUAUGUGCCAAUGACUUUGAUUGUAUGAGCCCACUUAUUCCUCAUGUUAUCACAUUUGUGGUGACUCAUGAGAGGCUGUGUCAGCUGCUGCUAUAUUUUUUUAAAAAUGGCAUUCUUCAGUUACAAAACCAAUUGUAGCAAAGUGUUUUCAAACAAAGAUAUUUUUUUCUUCUGUAGAUUUCUACAAUAAAAUAUAUGCAUACAUAGACAAAAACAAAAAAACCUGACCACAACAAGCCCUGAGAUGGCCAGACCUCACAAGCCCUCUAAACAAUUCAAAAUAGAUGAAUUAUUUGGGGAGGAACCGUGAGACAUCAAUUGUAGAGUAUGUGUCGGCAGAUCAAGGAGGAAGCAUGAAUGUGUGGGUUUACCUUUCCUUGCCUGAUUCUGAUUUCACCAUCAAUCCCAAGACACAAACCUUCCUUGGUAGCAAUAGAAAUUCCAACCCAGCACUAAUACAAGGGAGCAAUUUUCAUUUUUUGAUGGGAACUUCCUUGUUCCUUUGAAGCUGCUUUUCUGCUCUCUGUAGCAUACACCCUGUCACAUGUCUUCAUAGGACACAAUGGCAACAUUAGAAAUGUCAGUGCAUUGGAAAUGAAAUGUCCUUUACUCUAGUAUGGCACCUGAAGUAUUUGCCUGAUUUUGUGCAGAAGAUUUUAACCAUUUGAAAAUUGCCAUGCUUAUGCCAAUACAGUUUAUUAUCCCUGAACUGCACACUGGGGGCUGAGUGCUAUGACUGAAAGAGAAUAGCUCUGCUGUGGGUUUGAUUUUUACUGUUAAAUAUUUAGAUAAAUUAUAGCUGUGGGAUGGUAUAAACAGAAUCCAAUCUGCCACAUGGAUCAGCUACACACAGCAAGGAAUAUGUUAAAAUUUGCCUUGUCUAAGAAAGAAGAAAUUGAUAAAUGAUAUCCCAACCUAUGGAAAUAAAUUGAGGUUACUUAAUAGACUCAAAGCUUCUUACAGAAUGUAUUUCCCUUAGGGUUUGUUCUCCUUUUCUCCUUUGAGGUCCAACUACAUGUUAUAUCCGAAACCAUUCCAUCCAGGUCUGAUAACUUAUUUUCUUCUUGCAAAUCACAAUGUGGACAUCUGGAAAAAAUAGCAGGAGAUGUUUGGUUAUUUUAUCUCAAAUGGUCUAGUCUCCCAUUAGCAGCAUUCAGCAUGACCAAUGACAUGGAAUGGUGAAAGUUAUAAUGAAAAUUGUAGUCCAAAAUAUCAGGGGUACAUCUACAUUGCAGAAUUACAUAAGUCCGAAAUCACUUUAGCUGCAAUGGCUGUAUGCUACUGAAUCCUGAAAUUUGUAAUUUCAUUAUGUGUUUAGAAUUCUUUGCUCCAGAGCUUUAGUGCUGUAGUACAAGGGAGUGGACCUGACAAAACUAUGCAAUCCAGGUUCUGUUAAGUGGAUCCAUGAUGUUGUAGCUUUGCUGUGUUCAUACCUUCUUGGGUGACUAAAAAAAAAAUCUGUUCCCUUUCUUAGCAUAGUAUUGGAACCAUUCAUAAACUUAAUGAAAUUUCAAGAUAAUCCCAACCUAGCAAGAUUUAUUUUGUGGGUGCUUGCCAUUCUCUUCCUUUGGAGUUGGAGUGUGACUUGACCAGGGUCAUUCACUGGGUUUCUGUGACUAAGCACGGAUUCUUCCCUACUCUCCCAUCAUCCUAUCCCAACACUGAAACCAUUACAGUAUGGAAAUGCUGCAUGUGUGGACCCAGUCUAAAAAUUCAAUAGCCUUUUCCAAACCUCUUGGAGUGAAAUGUUCAGUGGGAUACGCAUUAUCAAUAGUUGCAUAUCUUAGUAAAACCAUUAUGUCGACUAUAAAUAAAAGACAAGCUAUACCCCAUCCUCUCAGUCAGAGAUAUACAAAGAGUAAUUAAGCUAAGGAAACGUUAAAUUUAUGACUGUUGUUUUAUGCAUGGUGCCCUUACACAAAAUAGUGAUUGACUGACACUUCAGUAUGCCUCUGGAGAGUAUUGCAGUGAUCCUGGGAAGAAAACAUUUGUGUUUGGUGAAUGAAAUGCAAGCAAUGAAGCCAAGAAUGUCCGGGAGCUGAAAAAUUAAAAUGAGAUUCUCUUCCCUUACCUCCCACCAUUGUAUAUCUGCAAAUGGGUUAGCAGUGCUGUUUGAUUAGUCUGGAGAGCAGCAGGAAGAAAACUCAGUGUAGUUUAAGAAGACAACAACAAGAAGAGUGAUAUGUAUAAACACAAGGCAGGGAAUAGACAGCAGCACUUGGAAUGAUAUGAGAGUAGAGAACCAGGUGUUCAGAGACUACACAGAUGUCAUUAUGAUCUUACAUACCAUGCACAAUAAUGAAGGCAUGAUUGAAUGGUGUGCCUUCAUAAAGGCUUAUGUUUGCACAAACUUGUCCUGGUUUAAUUAAAACUGUUAAUUCCACUUAUACAGGUCCUUUUAUAUUCAUUGAAAAAAACCAUUUUCACUUAUGCAGGUUUGUGUUUAUAGAUAUACAGGUCCCAAGAGUAACAUUAAAAUUCCCUGUUUCUGUGAACCAAAGUAUAUUUAACAUGUUUUAGAAGAAGUUGUUGCACAAGAGGAGGAAAAAGUGUAAUUGUCAAAGCAGGUGAUUGUCCUCACUGCUUUUCUUUUUCAUCUAACAUGCCAUCAUUUAUAAUUGGACCAUUAAAGGUAACCACAGUUUUCUUUUGCAUGUCUGAAUGCUGAAGAACACAUAUCUAAGGAAGCCCUAUUGAGGAGGAUUAUGGAUUUAGCACAGGAAAUAUCUAUUCCUUUUAAUGUCUAAUUCUAUUUUAGAUUGGAAAUCUCUUUGGGGAAGUGGCCUUUCAUGGUUGCUCUUUAAGACCAGUGUUUUUGGUGGUGGUAAUACAUAUUAUUUAUGUAUACUGCAGUGUUCUUGGUGGUGGUAGUAAAUAUUUUAAAAUGCCUGUUUCUGAGCAUGUUCCAUUUGCUAAAAUAACAAUGAUUAUGUCACUUCCCACUGCUUUUAUGUCAAUAAACAUACAUAAUUAUGCAAUUGAGGCCCAAUUUUAUAGAUGCUGCAGAAACAAGCAUUUUCCUCCUAUACUAUUUCAGUCACGUUCAAUUCUAGGCUAUGAAUAAUAGAAAAAAAAUUCUGCAACAUGCCAUAGCAAAAUGUAGACUGAAACUUUCUUUGGAUAUAUAGAUUUGCAGCAUACUAAUUUUAGGGGAUGUGGAAUGAACAUGCUGACAAUGGGGUUAAUACACCUGCCAAACACCUCUCCAUUUGCUGCAUAUAGAACAUGGCCAUCAGUUUUUGUAAGACAAGAAGACUCUAUUGUUAUCCCUAGUCAAGCAUUCAAAACAACACAUGAGGUCACAAACUGUGGGAACUAAUAACUAUUAUCUGUAGAAAUGUUCAGGUUUCCCUUUCUUUAAUGUAUCUUAGGAUAAAUGGCUUAGGACCUGAGUAUAUUUAACACAGAGAAGAAGAGUUUAAGAGGUGAAAUGAUAGUUAUGUUUAAAUAUUUGAAGGGAUUGUAUAUUGAGGAUGAAGCCAGCUUCUUUUAUGCUGUUCCAGACACUAACAUGGAGCAAUUGAUUAAAAUAACAGAAAAAAAGACAUUCCACUCAAACAAUAGGAAAAGCUUCUUAAUGUAAGCACUACAGUAGAGUAUGGUGGAGUCUUCAUCCCUGGGGGGUUUGUUAACGGAGGCUAGAUGGCUAUCUGUCAGGAGUGUUUUGAUUAUGUAUUUCUGCAUGGGUGGUCCUUGUGGUCUCUUCCAGUUCUAUUGUUCUAUGAUUAUACGUAUGGCUCAAACCCAACAGACCAUUCAGAAUAACACUUCCAAAUGUUGCAUCCCUUAUCCCUCCACUCUUAAGCCAUUAAACUAGUCAUUCUCAACCUGUGGGUCCCCAGUUGCUUUGGCCUUCAACUCCCAGAAAUCCUAAUAGCUGGCAAACUGACUGGGAUUUCUGGGAGUUGUAGACUCAAACUCCUGGGGACCCACAGGUUGAGAACCAGUGCAUUAAACAUAGUAUGAAGGUCUGGUGGAAAAUUGUAAGUAUGGUAGACUUCCAAGUAGAUUUGGCUGAACACACUUGGAUCCUUCCUUCAUGGUUUGCACUCAUUAUGCAAAGGUUCUCUAUGGAGAGAGUAGCUUGGAUGUUUACAGCUAUGUUCUUUUCAGUGACUUGCAUGAGUGUUUGUGGCACAGGUCCAUGAAGGGAAAACUUGCUCAAUUCCUACCUCAAGCAGCAGACUACGACAUCGUAAUGACUGCUGUCAGUAGGACCAUGGUAUCCCAAUGGCACACUUGAAUGCAUUCAUUGGCAUCUAAACCAUUUGCUUCCGGGACAGAGGAUUAAGUGCUAUAUCUAAUUGUUAGUUCUCCCUCCACCAAAACAGAACCAUUUAAAACAACAGAACACAUAUAAAUGUUGAUUCAUUUCUAAAAAUAAAUAAUAAUUGUUGAUAAUACUGACAAUUGGAUGAAUCCUACUCUAUUGGAUGAAUAGCAUUUCUUCAUAGAAACAAAACACAAUACUAUUUUUGUACAUAAAAUGCUGGUUUGUGUCCAAAACAAUUGCAUGUGCCUUUUGUGAAAAAUAGGUCCUGAAUUGCAAAUAUCAUCAGCCCCCUGAAUCUCCUGAUAUUAAAAAAUAAAAUAAAAUAUUUUUA